rnacentral:sRNA from 1 species
GAGCCUUACCCUGCUCUUUAGCUCCACCCACAACUUGCUUUGGUGGCGCGCCUUUGGUUUCUGCUGCCUACACCAUGUCCUGGUUCCUGGUUCCUCCCUAAGACUAAUCCUGGCUUGCUAAUCACAGGGGCCUCUUCUGCGUGUGGUUUAGCUCCCAUCCCAAGUCUCAGGUACAAGUGCCCGAGCUUUCUGGAAUUGAUUUACCAGUUCUUUGAAAUGUUGAGUCCUUACAUUUUAGCACAUAUAUGAAUAUCCACGUCAGAAACACUCUACUAGACCAAAGACCCAAGGUGCAAGAACAAUGUUCUAGAGAAUUCUUCCAACUCAAACAUUUCCACGUUUGCCUCAAGAUAUACUUUUGCUCAAAUAACUACUUUAAAGAGAUCCGAAGUACUUAGAUUCAACUACAAUGGACAGUCCUUAAUAGUGCUCAAAUCAAAAUAACCAUUCCCUCUACGUGGUUGCUUCUCUUGGACAGAAGAAUCUGGGCAAUCAACAGCCUGUGCAACUUUUUCAAAAAGCACUCCAAUCACAUCCACUGGAUACAGUUUGCUAGUGUUUGGUUUCAGAAAGCUAUGCAUCUCAUGACUGGAAAAACCAAAGCAACUGUGUCAGCAAGAGAGGUCCUCAGCAGAAAUCAUUAUUCCCAGUUCUCCGUGUCCCCAAGCAUCAUGCCAUCCAAGAAGAGCUAGAAGAAGGCAUUUGAAGUACUCCUAUGCUGACAGCACCAGAGAGUUCAGGUGGGUUUAGAGAUCUGUAGACCUUGGAUGUUGGAGAACGAGCUUCUGUAUAAAGAACUGAGUACGGUAAGGGGUAUGUCCUGUGUGCUUUGUCCCUGGAAUGGCUCUAUCUGAGCUGUGGUUUAAUCUCCACCAUAUUCCAUGAACCAGGUGUUGCUGUGCCUGUUUUGAAGAUGAAGCCACACAUGGGAGUUUAAGGCACUCUGGGUGAUGUACACGUUACUGAACACACGUCUCGCUCUAUGUUCUAGGGCCGUCUCUCUUAAAAUCCAGAUUGUGGCUUCACUCCAAACGCUGUCUCUCAUCAUUCCAUACAGUCCAUCUCUGAUACCUCCGCUGCUCAGAUGAGAAAGAGAGUUCAGAGCUGACAUUUCAAAUGCAGCCUCAACUUCCCCCAUAUUCUUUAAGAAAAUGGUGUUGCUGGGAUGGUCAUAUGGGAGAACUCAGGAUCAGAGGGAAGCAGAGGUAUUGGAGAGCCCUGGGUAUCUCCAGGGCCACAUCUGAGAGUUAGUGUGUAAGAAGCAGCCAUCCCAAGAAAGGUACAGGGGUAAAUCUGUGACUUAGGGGUGUUAAGUCCU